AUUGAAGUCUUCAGUUAUUUAUGUGUGCUUGAUUUAAUUAUUCACAUUUCGAGCCUUAGUUUAAAUUAUUCUAUGAGCACAUGCUACCACUUGUCAUCUAUCAUCAUGUCUUCCCAUGAUCACCAUGCUUCCUCCCUCACCUUUAAUACGCCACCUACUACGCCACCUACUCCUUGUCAAAAUAAGCUGCUGCCAUCAUUAUCAUGAUUUGUUUUCAACCCUUACCAUCAACUACAGUGCACAAGCCAUACAAUUACAAAUCUCACUCCAACAAAUCAGAUUUUUCUUCUAUCUAUAAUCAUUUUAUUCCUUCGUUGUGAAAGACCAAGCAACCAGAAGCUCAACUUUAGUUUUUCCUCCACUAAAUAUUUCGAGCAGGCCAAGUUUGUGGUGCACCAGAUCAACGAACCAGCAACUUCGUUCUAAAGGCUUUAUGAACCAAGGGGAUUAGCGCUGCUUUCCCAAGACGAGUUUAUGUGAUUAUGAUCUUCAGGCUUUGCCUAUCCAGGUUGAGCAACUGAUGGAAUGGAAUGAUGUUGAGCGGGUGUCCCUUUGACAUUUCAAGAAAUGUAACCUUGAGUAUACAUCUUCAUAUGUAUAUCUCACACGUUUUCCGCUGCAAAACACUUUGAUUAGGAUAGCUCUAUGUUAUGAAGUUGUGAUACAUGUUAUUGGGUAACCCACCUUAAUCAGUUCUCAUUUAAGUGUAUGUUUUAUAAGUAUCCAAAUAAUCAUAUAUGAUCCUAGCAUUUUAUCUAUGAGUGACAUUUCCAUAUACUUUAAUGUUAAGUAAUUGUCCAUUUCCA